AAUAUGACUCUCGGCAAUGGAUAUCUCAGCUCUCUCCAUGAUGAAGAAUGUAGUGAAAUGCGAUACUUAGUGUGAAUUGCAGAAUCCCGUGAAUCAUCGAGUCUUUGAACGCAAGUUGUGCCCGAGGCCUCGGCUGAGGGCACGCCUGCUUGGGCGUCGUAC
rnacentral:rRNA from 1 species